UACGUAGGGGGCAAGCAUUAUCCGGAAUUACUGGGUGUAAAGGGAGCGUAGACGGUAAUGUAAGUCUGGAGUGAAAGGCGGGGGCCCAACCCCCGGACUGCUCUGGAAACUAUGUUACUAGAGUGCAGGAGAGGUAAGCGGAAUUCCUAGUGUAGCGGUGAAAUGCGUAGAUAUUAGGAGGAACACCAGUGGCGAAGGCGGCUUACUGGACUGUAACUGACGUUGAGGCUCGAAAGCGUGGGGAGCAAACAGG
rnacentral:rRNA from 1 species